CAGGAAGAUAAAAAAGACCUGUGGCAGGAACCGGGAAAAAAAAUUGGGCUGGUGUUGUUGGUAUAAAAGGUUUUGGCACUGAGAAUAUUUCCACCUCGGGAUGCCUGCCUGCCUGCCUGCCCGUUGUUUUGCAGUGUCGUUCACUUAAACAAGCAGACUUACAUGCCUGUUCACACCCAGGGGGUAUUGGCUGGCAGCUGGAGGGAUCAUCAUUGUUUCCUUUUUUUUUUUUUGUUAGUUUUUGUUCUUUCUUUCUUCAUUGCACACCUCAUAAGUAUUGACAGAGUGGAGUUACAGCCGAUCAGCAGAUUCUUCACACCAUUCAGAGCGAAUUGAAGCCGUCAAAAUGUCAUCCGCCCACUUGUUGCAGCAUGGCACCUUUCCAGUGCAAAUAUGCUUUUUUUUUUUAUUUUACCAGACUGUUUUAGUUGUUUCCAAGGUGCUGCAGUUUAUCUUCGAUGCUGUGUACAAAAAGAAGAAAAAGGAAUAAAAGCUCUUUAAAUAUG